rnacentral:rRNA from 1 species
CAAGGAAUUUUCCGCAAUGGGGGAAACCCUGACGGAGCAACGCCGCGUGAGUGAUGAAGCCUUUCGGGGUGUAAAACUCUUUUCUGAGGGAAGAAGAUCUGACGGUACCUCAGGAAUAAGCAUCGGCUAACUACGUGCCAGCAGCCGCGGUAAUACGUAGGAUGCAAGCGUUGUCCGGAAUUACUGGGCGUAAAGAGCGCGCAGGCGGCACUUUAAGUAGGGCGUGAAAUCUCUCGGCUUAACUGAGAGGGGUCGUUCUAAACUGGAGAGCUAACGAGGGCAGGAGAGGAAAGUGGAAUUCCCGGUGUAGUGGUGAGAUGCGUAGAUAUCGGGAGGAACACCUGUGGCGAAGGCGACUUUCUGGCCUGUUCCUGACGCUGAGGCGCGAAGGCUAGGGGAGCGAACGG